rnacentral:tRNA from 1 species
GCACCCGUAGCUCAGUUGGAUAGAGUGUCAGUUUCCGAAGCUGAAGGUCGCGCGUUCGAUCCGCGCCGGGUGCGCCA